CUGGUACCCAGGUCUCCAAAGCUCUCGUUCUUUCCAUACAGAUGCUUCCAGCUUGAAAAAUGUUCACAGACUGAACACACUUGUGUAACCAGUCUGAAAAUGAAGAAAUAAAGCAUUACGAGCAUCCCGGAAGCCUCCCAUUUCCUCUUCCUCCGCUCCUCCCCUCCCACAAAGCAUAGCCACCAUCCUUACUUUUACCACCACAGAAGAAUCUCGUCUCUUUCCAGUUCCUGCCUUGGGAGUCACAUGGGAGUAAAAGAGAGAAAAAACAUCAGUGUAUGAGUAUUCACAACCUUGAAUGGACGAAUCUGUGAACUGGGCAGUUUGCUCUGCAUGAUAAAGACCAGAGGGGAGAAGAGCACGGUGGGGGCCAGCCCACUGGUGAAAGUGCUUAAGUUCUCAUGCUCUGCUUCAGUGGCCCGGGGUUGGCAGGUUCGGAUCCUGGGCGCAGACCUACGCAUUGUUCAUCAAGCCAUGCUGUGGCAGCAUCCCACAUACAAAAUGGAAGAAGACUGGUUCAGCUGUUAGCUCAGGGACAAUCUUCCUCACCAAAAAAAAAAGAAGAAGAAGAAGACUGUGAUGUUUGUUCUGUUCUAUCUGCUUUCCCCCACUGCCCGGCCCCCAGCACAGAGACUUCUACCCUUCUCUCCCUUCAGGGGCACCCUGCAUCUUGACCAUACAGAGCCCCUCUUGUUUAAUCAUUUUUCCACUUCAUCCUGAAUCCCCGCUUCUACAUUUCUUCUCCACCAUAGACACUCCCUUUAAUUUCUUCAAUUUGUCUCAUACUAAAAACAAACAAAAACUUUCCAUUGAUGAAAUGGCCCCUCCAGGCACUGCGCGACCCCUCUGCUUUUCUUGAUGGCAAAAUGCUUCAAAACUGCCAUGUCGGGAAGAGUCUUGGGAACACUGUGGGUGGGGACAGAAUGGAAUGGAGGAGAGGCCCAUAGAAGUGGACAGAGGGCAUGAGUGGAAUAAAGCAGACCCCGCAUAGGUAUAGAGUUGAGGGUCAAGUGGAGUCACUGCCUCUGUCCUACUGGUCUGUGAGGUGGCCAGAGGCCCGGGGUCCCCACUGGGUGUGCUGGGAUGGCUGUCCUGGGCAGUCUUGGGGCUGCUGGUGGCUGGACACGAAGGUCAUGGCAACCUGUGCAAGGACCUGCAUGAGGACCCCUAUGGCUGCAGCCACAGGCACUCACGUGUGGAUUUCUACCAUGGACACAGCCAUGCCUGUGGCCAUGGGUCACCUUCAUUAGGGCAUCUGGCAUGUACAUACUCAUGGUCACAAUCGCGGACAUUCGCAUGAGGAUGUGCACCAUGGCCACUCCCACGAGAGCCUCUACCACAGAGGACAUGGCCAUGGCCACGAGGACAGUCACGGAGGCUGUGGGGAGUCAGGGGCUCCUGGCAUCAGGAAGGACCUGGACUCUGGAGGCCACAGUGCUGACUCUGUAGCUCCAUUUUUCAUCCUCUUCUUUACUCCUGUGGAGUCAAACUCCUGGCAUCGCCCUCUGCUCUAGAUUUUGCUCUGUUUUGCUUCGAGUGGGCUCCUGGGAGAUGCUUGCCUGCAACUCAGCGCUCCUGCCCCGGAGCCUCAUUCUCACCACCCCCUGGAGCACUGUGGGAGGGCCCCAUCUGUCCACGGGACUGUGGGUCCUCGGUGGAACUGUUGCUUCUCUUGUGGUGGAGAAAUUUGUGAGACACGUGACAGGAGGACAUGCACACGCUCACGGUCACACGUGGAAGACAAGAGCGUCCUUCGAAGGAGAAGCAGAGCUCAGAGGAAGAAGAAAAGGAAGCGGGGGGUCGUGGAAGAGGAGAGGAGGGAGCACAGACCCAAAGAUGGGCCGUGGAGACCUCACAAUUCUGAAGGGGGAAAAACAGGUUCAGACCUGCGUGUAUCGGGGAACCUGAAUAUGGCUGCUGACCUGGCACACAGCUUGCUGGAUGGUCUGGCCAUUGGCGCUUCAUUUCAAGGGGAUCAGGAGCUGGGAUCCUGCGCAUAUGACUGUCCUGCUACAUGAAGUGCAUCCUGGUCCAGUUUGGCAAUAGGCACACUGGCAGGCACAGCCUGUGCCCUUCUAACGCUAGGAGGGACAGUGGGCAGUGAAGCGCAGUGGUACAGGUGGCGGCUGGGUUCUGCCUUUCACUGCAGGCGGCUUUAUCUCCGUAGCAAUGGAGUCUGUGUUGUCUGAGCUGUCACAUCUGGAGGUGCUGGGGCGGUGGGGCAAGCUGUCAUGAUGGUGCUGAUUGCCCACCUGGAGGGAGACGUGGGCUAAACCGCCCCCCCCCCCGUGCCAAAUCUCUAGCCUCUAACUCCUCCAGGUUGGGGUGUGUGGAGGUUGGGGUCCUGGCAGAGAACAUCUGUCAAAGGAAGGAGCUGUAUCCUAAGGCAGAGGCGACUUGAUGUAAGGGCCAUCGAGGUUUGGCAGCCUCACAGGGGCUGGAGAGGUGAGAAAGAAAAGCACCACGGUGCUGGGCACAGGCCAAUCAUGUUGGUGGGUCAGGGGGCCUGAGUGGGGCCAAAAAGAAAGCUGGAAGAGAGAGGAACGAUGGCAGUCCAGCCCAUGUCUCCACCCUACCUGUUCUCAGAGGACUAAGCUGCCACACACAGGCUUCUCCAAGGCCCACCUCCCUCUCCCCCACCUGUUGGUGGAGGCUUCAGGGAAGAGCAGAAUUUGGACACAGCGGGAAGCAGGAAUUGCGGAGGAUAAACAUCAAUUAAACUUCAACCACGUGUCUUGAUUUGAUAGUGAAUGAGGGAGGGGAGUUAGCUGCUAAUCUCAUGGACUGAUUUUUGUGUGUUUCUAUUCUUUUUAUAUCACCGUUUGGAUCAAGAGAGAAGAGUGGUGACCAGAAAUAAAGUCCUUGAAUUUUCCACCCCAUUAAAAAAAAAACAAAACUGUUGUCCCUACUUGUUUUAUCCACUUUUUCUCUUCCUGGUCUCUCCAGAGCCCUCUCCAGUGAGGUUUCAACACCAUCAUUGCACUAAACUAUCCUUAUCUGCUUAGUCCUCCUGGCUCAUCUUAGCCUAUCACUCCUUCCUUCUAGAAAUAUUUUCUUGCUUGACCUCCAGGACCCCGCCCUUUCUUGGUUCUCUUCCAACCUGAGUACUUUUCCCGUCUCCUUGGUUGGCUCCUAAUCACCUUCCCUACUUCUAAAUAACCCAGUGCCUCGGGGCUUGGGCUCAGUCUUCUUUGCUGUCUGUGCUCACUCCCUCAGUGACUUCUCAUCCCGUGAUUUAAACACCACCUAUAUGCUGCAACUCCCAAAUGUGUGUCAUCAGACCUCUCCUUGAAUUCUAGACGUAAACGGCCAAGAGACCACUUGAGAUCUCCACUUGGACGUGUAACAGGCAUCUCAAACACGGCCCAAAGCAAACUCUUGUUUUUUCCACCUAAAGCUACUCCUCUCCCAGUCUUUCCCACCCAGAGAAAAGCAACUCCAUUCUUCCAGUUGCUCAGGCCAAAACCUUCAGCAACAUCCUCGAUUCCUCCAUUUCCCUCACACCCAUCCAUUAGUAAAUUGUCUGCUCUAUUUUUUUUUUAAAGAUUUUAUUUUUUCCUUUUUCUCCCCAAAGCCCCCCAGUACAUAGUUGUAUAUUCUUCAUUGUGGGUCCUUCUAGUUGUAGCAUGUGGGAUGCUGCCUCAGCGUGGUUUGAUGAGCAGUGCCAUUUCCGUGCCCAGGAUU
rnacentral:lncRNA from 1 species